GGCACAUGGUGGAUGCCUAGGGUCUGAAAGGCGAAGAAGGACGUGGUAAGCUGCGAUAAGCCAGGGGGAGUUGCACACGAGCGCUAUAUCCCUGGAUCUCCGAAUGGGACAACCUGGUAUGCUGAAGGCAUAUCACUCGAAAGAGAGCCAACCCCGAGAACUGAAACAUCUAAGUACCGGGAGGAAAAGAAAAUAAGAAUGAUUCCCUGAGUAGUGGCGAGCGAAAAGGGAAGAGCCCAAACCUGUGGGGCGUGCUCCACGGGGGUUGUAGGACUACUUUUAGAAACCUGUUUCAAUCUGAACCAUCUGGAAAGUUGGGCCAUAGCGUGUGAAAGCCACGUAGGAGCAAAUAACAGGGGACGUGUAGUAUCCUGAGUAGCGCGGGACCGGAGGAAUCCUGCGUGAAUCUGCCGGCACCAUCCGGUAAGGCUAAAUACUCUUCAGACACCGAUAGUGAACCAGUACCGUAAGGGAAAGGUGAAAAGCACCCUGAAUAAGGGAGUGAAAUAGUACCUGAAACCGUGUGCUUACAAGCGGUCGGAGCCAGCAAUGGUGACGGCGUGCCUUUUGCAUAAUGAGCCUACGAGUUACUCCUAACUGGCGAGGUUAAGUUCUUAAGUAACGGAGCCGUAGCGAAAGCGAGUCCAAAUAGGGCGAUUUAGUCAGUUGGGGUAGACGCGAAACUUUGUGAUCUAUCCAUGGGCAGGUUGAAGGUGUGGUAACACACACUGGAGGACCGAACUCAUUAACGUUGAAAAGUUAUGGGAUGACCUGUGGAUAGGGGUGAAAGGCCAAUCAAACUGAGAGAUAGCUCGUUCUCCCCGAAAUGUUUUUAGGAACAGCGUCGCAUAUAGAAGUUUAUUAGAGGUAGAGCUACUGAUUGGGCUAGGGGGCUUCACCGCCUACCAAACCCUGACAAACUCCGAAUGCUAAUAAAUAUCUGCGGCAGUGAGGCUGUGGGCGCUAAGGUCCAUGGCCGAGAGGGAAAUAACCCAGAUUAGCAACUAAGGUCCCUAAUACGUAGUUAAGUUGAACAAACGAGGUGGGGUUUCUAAAACAGCCAGGAUGUUGGCUUGGAAGCAGCCAUUCAUUUAAAGAGUGCGUAACAGCUCACUGGUCGAGAGACCCUGCACGGAAAAUGAUCGGGCAUCAAACUACGAACCGAAGUUCUAAAUUCCAUACUUGUAUGGAGUGGUAGGGGAGCAUUCCAAUCUGCGUUGAAGGUGUGUGGUGAUGCAUGCUGGAGCGGUUGGAAAAGAAAAUGUAGGCAUAAGUAACGAUAAAACAAGUGAAAAACUUGUUCGCCGUAAGACUAAGGGUUCCUGAUCAACGUUAAUCGGAUCAGGGUUAGUCGGGUCCUUAGGCAAACCCGAAAGGGGCAGCUGAUGGCAAACUGGUUAAUAUUCCAGUACCCGCAUUAGUUUCGAUGGGGUGACGUGUUUGUGGAAGGUCCGCGCAGUUACGGAAUACUGCGUUAAAGCCCGUAGAUAUAUCCUGGAUAGGCAAAUCCGUUCAGGAUGUCGAAGGUGAUAGUACUUGAAAGCUUCGGCUGGAUAGAUAGUGACCCUAAUCAUAGCACCGAGAAAAACCUCUAAGGUUAGGCUAAUGCGGCCCGUACCGUAAACCGACACAGGUAGUCGAGAUGAAUAUUCUAAGGCGCUCGGGUGAGCCGUGGAGAAGGAACUAGGCAAAUUGACGCUGUAACUUCGGGAUAAAGCGUACCACAGCGAUGUGGUCUCAGUAAAAUGGUUCAACCAACUGUUUAACAAAAACACAGGGCCCUGCAAAAUCGUAAGAUGACGUAUAGAGCCUGAUACCUGCCCGGUGCUGGAAGGUUAAGGAAGGAUGUUCGGCGCAAGCCAAAGCUUCUGACUGAAGCCCCAGUAAACGGCGGCCGUAACAAUAACGGUCCUAAGGUAGCGAAAUUCCUUGUCGGGUAAGUUCCGACCUGCACGAAUGGCGUAACGACUUCCCCGCUGUCUCCAGCAUAGACUCAGUGAAAUUGAAUUCCCCGUGAAGAUGCGGGGUUCCUGCGGUUAGACGGAAAGACCCCGUGCACCUUUACUAUAGCUUUACAUUGGCAUUCGUAGUGGCAUGUGUAGGAUAGGUGGUAGGCUUUGAAGCAGGGACGCCAGUUUCUGUGGAGCCACCCUUGAAAUACCACCCUUAUCUCUAUGGAUGUCUAACCGCGACCCGUUAUCCGGGCCCGGGACAAUGUAUGGUGGGUAGUUUGACUGGGGCGGUCGCCUCCCAAAGAGUAACGGAGGCGCGCGAUGGUGGGCUCAGAACGGUCGGAAAUCGUUCGCUGAGUGCAAUGGCAUAAGCCUGCCUGACUGCGAGACUGACAAGUCGAGCAGAGACGAAAGUCGGUCAUAGUGAUCCGGUGGUCCCGCGUGGAAGGGCCAUCGCUCAACGGAUAAAAGGUACGCCGGGGAUAACAGGCUGAUGACCCCCAAGAGUCCAUAUCGACGGGGUUGUUUGGCACCUCGAUGUCGACUCAUCGCAUCCUGGGGCUGGAGCAGGUCCCAAGGGUAUGGCUGUUCGCCAUUUAAAGAGGUACGUGAGCUGGGUUUAAAACGUCGUGAGACAGUUUGGUCCCUAUCUUCCGUGGGCGCUGCAAGAUUGAGAGAGCCUGCUCCUAGUACGAGAGGACCGGAGUGGACGCACCUCUGGUGUAUCGGUUGUCACGCCAGUGGCAUUGCCGAGUAGCUAAGUGCGGAAGAGAUAACCGCUGAAAGCAUCUAAGC
rnacentral:rRNA from 1 species